rnacentral:lncRNA from 1 species
AAAAAUCCAUAGUCAAUAUAGCCCUAAAUUGCAACACCCAUUAAUUACCUACACUAGGGUUGAGCUACAACCCUAGCUAAUGGGUUUAGGUACUCAUACUUGAAGAGAAAAACAGAGAAAUAGUUGAAGAUGAACACAUAUUAAUUAAUUGCUAAGCUAAAUACAAAAAUUCAAUGAUAAAAAGUAAGUAAAAAUGCCAAAAAUGGCUACAAGAUACGUUCCCACGAGCGCAACAACUAUUCUAAAAUGUCUGAUGCCCUAAAACUGGAAAAAGAUUCUAUUUAUACUAAGUUGAAAAAAUUGGACAAAAAUGCCUCGGCGGGGUUAGUGCGGACCGCACAAAAUGGUGUGCGCCAGCAUUAGGCUCUUGAACUUGAAAACUUGACUCUCUGAACCCAGGCUCCGCAAGCCGCACAAAAUGGACUGCGGCCGCGGAAGCUUUUAGCGCGGUCCGCAUAGAAUUGAUCGCGGAUCGCACAGGCUUCAAUCCUUGAACUUGGCAUCUCUCUGAAUCUUGGCUCUGCGGACCGCACAGGCUUCAAUCCUUGAACUUGGCAUCUCUCUGAAUCUUGGCUCUACGGACCGCACAAAAUGGUAGUGCGGCCGCAUUGCCUUCAGUGCGGACCGCACAAAACCUUCUGCGGCCGCACUGCCUUAAUGCCUGAAAUACCAGCUCUCUGAAUCUCCUUAGUGCGAACCGCACAAAGUGUAGUGCGGUCGCACUGGGCCUGUUUUUCCUGAGUUUGUCUUGUCUUCAGUACUUGUGCAGGUUUCACUCCUUUUGAGCUGAUCUUUGACAUUGUAGUCACUUUGUGGAUCAAACCUGCAAUCAAGCACAACUUGUGAGCCUUUUGGAACUAUUUUGUAUGAAUUUAUAAUCAAAGCGUAAGCAAGAAGGAGUAUAAAAUGCGUCAAAAUCCCUAGUUAUCAACUCCCCCAAACUUAAGCUUUUGCUUGUACUCAAGCAAACAAAAUAAGACCCACCCCUUAAGGGAAAAGUCAAGAAAUUUUCAGUUGUCCUAAAGCAACCGCAAUUAGCAUCAAUUGGGACUAACAAUUGCCCUAAAUACAAAAUGAGUCAUUAACAACAUUUAACCUUUGAAAAACCAUGGAUCAAGUGCGACACAAGAGCUUCAAGAGUUGACUCAACACAUCAAAGAACUCUCUCAAUUACUUUGGUCAUUGUGGAACCCAAACUCACACAUCCUCAACUCUCCCUAAGCAAACCUUACCUUUAGAAUAUUGGCACACAAAACGAGGUUAGUGAAAAUUCACUCAUCUCUCUCAAGAAAAAGUCACAAGUCCGGCUCUAUGUACCAUAUGCUUGCCCCUUAUGUGAGUAUCCACUAAUGUAAGCUUCAUUCAACUCAAGAUCAUAUAGGGCUUUUGUGGAGAUAUUGUAAAGGCUUUUGGUUCAGGGUAGGACAUGUUUUGGUCUAAGUAUGUUCCAUCUUCCCUUAAGCACUUCUUUUGAUUCAUUUGACACAUAUUCUCUUGGCUCUUUAAGUCAUUUCACUUCUUUCUAAGGGGUUAGAAAGAUACACUGUCACUCUAUCUUAUGAAUUUCAAACCUCUUUUUCCUUUCUCAACCUUCCACACCUUUCAUUCUUUGCUUUUCUUAAAUCCCUUUUUAUUCCUUUUCACAUUUAGCAUUCUUUUGUUUUGUCUUUUACUUUUCUUCUCUUUCAUUACCUUUCCCUUUCUUCACUUUUGUGCCUUUUUACCACUUUGUUGUCAUCCUCGUCUCUUCCCCCUCCCCUCCCCCAAACUUAUACUUUUGCCAUGUGCUAAAGGAAAGAUCGGGUGCCAAGAGAGGAUAUCUUUUAGAACGGGUAUAGGCUUGUAUCAUGGUUCUUGAAAGAAAAAGGUCUAAGGCUCAAAAGGGUUAACUAGGGAUCAUAUCAUUGGUAGGCUAUGGAAUUGUUCAAACUAUCAUUUGGACCAAGGAGAGCCUAUAAUCAUGCCUUAAGUCAAAAAUUCACCGAUGAUUUCUCCUCAACAAACAUUCAGGGCAAGUUCUAGACCAAUGGCUCGGGACUUGGACGUGCAAUUUAAUUACUCACCACACAAGCUAAGGGAUUGCUAAAGACAUAGAGUCGGGGGCCCACAACGAUCUUAGAUACGAUUUGAGCACACAAUGGUCCCGAAAAAUCACUUGAUGAUUAUCGGUCAACACAAGAGUCUCAUGGUCACGACUUUCACCAUCCUAACCACAACAAUUUAUUUUUGACCAUGAGAUCAAAGGCAAAUGUGCUAGGCCCAAGUGAAGCUUUGCUUGAGGCACCCUUAACUAUUAACUAUUAAAAACAAAAAAGAAAAACGGACUCAAACUCUUAAGAAGGUUGUCAUGCCAUCCAUCAUUGGGAAGAGCCACCUGGUUCACACAAUACUCCACCUUUGGAAAGAACCGCGGCAUUAAGAAAACCAAAGGCUUAUUGAAAACGUUCAAAACAAAACAAAAAGCUACAAACAUAAAUAAGAAGCUAAAAACGAAUUUUUUUUACGAAAAGUAGAAUGAAUAUAUACAAGAAACAUAACUUUAUAUACAAACCCAAAGUAAAAUAAAAGUGCAAUAAAUGUAACUAAAUAUCAAAUUAUAUACAGACCAAAGAUGAAAAAUCAAAAAAGCAUAAAAAUGUAUCAAUAUAUAUACAGUCAUCCAAAAUGUAGGGCCUACCCCCUCAAAUUAAAGCUGUCAUUAUCCCCAAUGCCAACUAGUCUAAAUAAAGCAUCAAAAUGAUAAGAGGAAAAAGGAUAUAGAAGACUCCCUAAGCCCUGUGUGCUCGGGAACCUCAGAUUGGUUCCUAGUGGUCUGCUCCUCUGCUACUGGGACCUGAGCCUGGACCUUGACAGGCUCUGGAACUGGUACAUCUUGUGGCUGAUUGGAGGAAGUCUCCAGUGGGUCCGCCAACUGGAUGAUAGCAUCAUCAGCUUUAGGAAUCAUCCUCCUCCUCUUCGGAGGCCUCUGUAUCUGCUCCUGCUGUGGCUGAGUUGCUGGGACUAGGUCCUCGAGCAAUAAGUCUAAAGGCAUCUGAUCUGCCUUCAGUCUGUCAACAUCUGCACGCAGCUCCUUCACGAACUCCUUGGAGGCCCGUGUCUUCCGCAACUUUUUGUGCUCCUGAGCAAGAUCCUUGAGAGUCUUGCUAUGUGAAUCAACUGCCUUUGAGAGCGCAACCUGAGUGUCGAGGAUCUUCUUCUGAUUGUCAAGUAUCUCCUUGAGCGCAUCCUUUAUCGACUGUGGCAUCCGUGGGGCUGGGGGAACCGACUGAGCCUCUACAGUGGUAGUCAAGAUGGACAACUUGGAUGAGGCAGUCUGCAUCCAGUUGUUGAUACUCAGAAGUGCCUAGCUCAGACGGUGAGCAGUAAUAGGAUGGGCCCGAGAAGAUGGGAUCUCCGAGCCCGAUGAUGUGGAUGGACCAGCAGGAAUAGCUGUGGAUGUGGAAGGUCCGGGAGGGAUGUCAGCAGGAGUGGAGGUAGGCUCAGCAGGGAACUCUACCACAACUGGCUCUUCAGACUGGCCAGUUGGGGUAGAAGCAGGAGCUUUGUAGUUCUUGCUCUUGGGGUUGUCAUCCCCCUUCAUGCUAUACCAGGAAAAUGGGCUACCGCCUUGACCUUGAUAUCAUAGGGUCUCUUGUCCACCUCCAUGUCCCGAAAGUACAUUGUGAGGAAGCUGGGAAAAGGGUAGUUCUGGUCAUGCUCCACUCCCACUAUAGUGAUAAUUCGGGACAUCACAUUCCCCACGUUGAUAAGGUACUCUACAAUGAUAUAAGCCACUAACAUAGCCGGUGGAGAGGAAGGGUGUUGUCAUGAGUGGUAGGGUCCAAGCUGCAAACAAAAGUCUCCCAUUCCCUCGCCUCAAAGUUCAAGCUCCUUCUCAAUAUUUUGACUCCAACAGUCAACCAGUCGGGGACGGUACCUGGGAUUGCCAGGUACUGUGCUAGCCAUGGACGGACCUCCUUGCCAAUUUCCAACUUUGCCAUAUACAAUAUCUCAUCCUCCUCAUUGAAGCUCAGAUACUCAUUUAUCGACUUCCCAUCAAAUAACACCUUCAAGUUCCGAACCUUGGUCACUUUGGAGCCCUUUUUGAUGUGGGCUACAUUGCAAUAAAACUCCUUGACCAAGUGUUCAUUGGCGUCUACACAGUCAUCCAUGAAAUGCUCCCAGCCCACUCUAGUUCUAAACUGUCUUUGCACGUCGGGAUUGUGGGGUAAUAGGUCUCUAUCUAUGAAGCUCCUCUCCGGGAUCAGUUUUCUCACCGGCCACUACUCACUAAACUUAUGGUACGCCACUUCACUUACAAACCUACCCUCCCAAGCUUCGGGCUUCCUAGUUCUAGCAACACCUCUCACCUGAGGCUCACCACCUUCAGCUACCUCCUCAUCUCCCUCUACUUCCUCCUCACCUUCGUAUGCACCCUCCCCGGAUAAUAAAGCUGCGGGGGAGGUAGAGUAAUCACUACUACCGGCUGUUGAGCCCUUAGAUGACUCAGUAGAAACAUGUGCUGGUGCUUGGGCAGUGGGUGAUGGUGGAGGAGUAGUAUUUGUCAGUUUGAAUCUUCCCGGCCAAUCUUCAACAUAUUCUGGCACGGAGUCCGAAGAAAUGUCCUGGGAUGCACAUACUCACUCCCCGACUGAUCACUGGCUUUGUCAGCUGCUUUUAUUGCCUUCCUCAUCUGUUUUAUGCUUUGUCUAACUUGGGGAGUGAAUCUAAUCAUCUUCUUGCCCUUUCCCCCGGGAGGAUUCACCUCUGUCGGGUUGUUUUGAGCCUUUCCCUAAUUGUUUAACCAUUGUCUGCAAUCACAAUCACAUGGCAUUGUUAGUAUCAGUUGCAGCAUUAGAGAAACAGUGAAAAUUCAGUGUUGCAGAACAUGGGAACAUAGUUGCAGAAGUCCCUAGUGCAGACCGCAUAAAAUGGAGUGUGGCCACACAGGGGCCAGUGCGGUCCGCACAAAAUGGUAGGGUGGUCCGCACAAAAUGGUAGGGUUCAGACUACCCAUCCUCUAUAUCUAACCAGUGCGGACCGCACAAAAUGGUAGUGCGGUUGCACAAGGACCAGUGUGGUUCACACAAAAUGUAGUGCGGCCGCACUGCCCAAGGUUUAUCUUUCCAGAAGUUCAUCAGUGCGGUCCACACAAAAUGGAACUGCGGAAUGCACUGGGGCACCGCGGACCACACAAAAGCGACCGCGGUCCGCACUAAGUGCCCAAUUUUGGCACUGAGUUAGGGUUCAUGGGAUUUUUGCUUUUAAGUCCAAAUUUUCACCUAAUGAGUGCCCCUAAGUCAUUUCUUGGUCCAUUAAACUAACAAAGUCCUCAUGAAUUCAAAAUUUACCUCUACUUUAGCCUAGGCAAUUGAAAUAAAUACGGGAGGAAGAAGAACAGAAGCUCAGAAAAACAAAAAUUAAACAAAAUUACAAAAUUAAACAAGGAAAAGGAAGAUUUUGUUACCAGAUUAUGAGAUGAAGUGAAACUAAUCAAUGCCAAGCAAGUAAUUACGAUCAAAUGCAAGGGAAGAACAAUAUUAGUAUGCUCUGCGAGUUAAAAUUUUGAAAAUUUUGAAAAGGGUAAUAGGAGACCCUUAAGGUCUAUUUAUAGAAAAGCCCCUGGGGCCCAGUCUCACCUACCAGUGCAGACCGCACAAAAUGGACCGCGGUCUAUAUUGAACUGUUUUAUUCAAGUUUGAGAAGGCAACACUUUGAGGUCCGCACAAAAUGGACUGCGGCCGCAGAGGUUCACCGCGGACCGCACAAAAUGUAGUGCGGCCGCGGUGGCAAACUUCAGAGAAGCUUCAUUUUACCCACACCAUUGCGGUCCGCACAAAAUGUACUGCGGCCGCACUGGCAACUUCAGAGACCUGUGCAUUUUUUCCACUAUGUCUUGCACUGCAUCAACACAACCCUGUAACAUCUCACAACCAGUUAACUCAAAAAUCAAUCCUAUACUUCAAGAAAAUCAAAGAAAUCAAGAAGAAAAACACAUGGGUUGCCUCCCAAGAAACGCCUGAUUUAACGUCGCGGCACGACGUAGGUUACCAUCACAUCAUUUGAAAUGAAGUGCCACCACAUGGCUGUCAUCAAUUUUCCCAAGAUAAUGCUUGCCCCGGUGCCCGUUAACUCUAAAGACUUCACCAAUUUUUAUUUUUCAAAUCAAGAGCACCAAAAGGGGUUACAAACACAACUUCAAAUGACCCACUCCAUUUUGAUUUAAGCUUUCCCGGAAAUAGACGUAACCGAGAGUUGAACAAGAGAACCAAUCACCUACUUUGAACUCCUUUCCACGAGCAUAUUUAUCAUGAAGGUACUUCAUCUUGUCCUUAUACAAGGACGAACCAAAGUAGACAUGGAAUCUAAAUUCAUCAAGUUUAUUGAGCUGCUCUACACGAAGAUUGGCUGCAACAUCCCAUUCAAGAUUCAACUUCCUCAAAGCCCACAUGGCCUUGUGCUCUAACUCAACCGGAAGAUGGCAAGCUUUCCCAAACACCAACCGAUACGGAGACAUACCAAUCGGAGUUUGUAAGCCGUCUAACAAGCCCAUAGAGCGUCAUCCAACUUCUUCGACCAAUCAGUCCUAUUAGUAUUGACCGUCUUUGACAAUAUACUUUUGAUUUCCCUGUUGGAGACUGUCACACCUCCUUUUUACUACCCCCCGGAAGGGUAUAAGGGAGUUUUGUCCAAUUUAAGUGACAAUCGAAACAAGAUUAUUUAUUUAUUCAGAGUCACCACUUGGGAUAAUUUAUGGUGUCCCAAGUCACCGGUUUGGAAUCCUGAAUCGAGGAAAGAUUGACUCUGUUCUAUAGUCCGCGAACACAGAAAUUCGGGUAAGGAAUUCUGUUAACCCAAGAGAAGGUGUUAGGCAUUCCCGGGUUUCGUGGCUAUAGCACGGUCGCUCAACUAUUAUUAUUGGCCUAAUUAUCUGAUUUUAAAACACUUUUAGACCUAUGUGCACUUUUAACCUUUAACCUUUAAAAAUCGCUUUUAAUUAUUUAAAGAAUUAAUUCAAGGUUAUAUAAAACAUAUCGCAAGCCAUGGCACAUGAAAUGCACCCGUGGUUCACGACACGUUCUAUUUAAUCUUGUUGGAAAUUAGAACUGGGCCACAUGAAAUACCCCCGGGUUUUAGAAAUUAAGCAUCACAACUACGUCAGGGAGCCGUACCCGUAGAUAUGAUGAUUCAUUAAUUAAUGCACCUAAAACAUGCUACAAUUGUACAUUCUCAUCAGAUUAUACACCCAUUGGAUGGUACAACUAUAAUAGCUCUCAAUUGAAUAACAACUAAGAGCCAUAUACAUCAUCACAAAUAUUUGAACUACUUAUUAUAUUUGAUACAAUUCAUCAAAAUCAAGUUCCAGCAAUCAUGAGAGAUUGGUUUGUAAAAGACUUAUAUGUAUUACUUUGCAAGAAAUCAAUUUUUACGUAGAAAUAGUGAAUGGUUCUAUUUUCUUGAUGUAGAGUUCUCACAGCCAGCACAACUAAUACUAUGUAACUCUUAAUAAGAUAAGCAAUUUGAUAUCCAAAAAAAAACUUAAAUCGAUCAUCAAAACGAGAAUCUCAAACUAUUCAAAAAUAUAAAUGAAUGCCAAUGAACACCAAAAUAACAAGAGAAACGACUCAUAUCAUUAAUCAAACAAGAUGAGAAGUGGACCUUGGAAGUUGAAUAUGAAACUUUAACGCUUGGACUGCUUUGAAAUUCACAAGCGACCAGAUCGCGAACAAGACCUCGACGGAAAUGGAACCUCAAAUCGGCGACAAAUCAGAGCGACAAACGACGACCCCAAAACCUUGCUCUGUUCUAUGAUUUUAUUAAUGGAUAGGCCAUUUUCAGGUGUUGUAUUGGACUGAUUUUCGCUGGGUUUUGAACUGUUUCCAUGGAGUUUUCAGCUGUGUCUUUUGGAGGUUUGAAAGCUAGUUUUCGACUAACUUCGCGGUUGGUUUUUCAGCUGGUUUCGGGCUUCAUGUGGCGACGUUAAUAGAGGUUUUCUGGUGGUGUUCAUGGAAGGAAAAGAGUAGCUCUCAUGGCUGCUUUGGACGGCAGAAAAAUGAAACGAUGGCUGCGUUUUUCUGUUGUAAUGUUGUUGCACAGCUUCCUUCUUUUUCUUGUUGUGUAUGUGUGUUAUAUUGUUGAGGGUGGCAAAGAUGAGAGAAGAGGGUGACCGUUUGGUUGAAGAAGCAAAACGAUGGGGUGUUCUUGGGUGUUAGCGGCGCUGCUUCAUCUUCAGGCUCCUAGGGUUUUCUUCUAUUGUUUCAACGAAGAAGACGAUGAAAAGCUACGGGGGUGGGGUGGGGUGGGGGGGUGUUUUUUGAGUAUCAGCAGCGGAUGGGAUUUAGCUUUUUUGUCUAGGUCUUUAGGCGUUAGCUAUGUAGGUCUAAGGUCUCCUUUAUUUUCAGCUCAUUUCCCUUUAUAUGUAUAUGUCUAGGGUUCAAUUAAAGGGAAGAGGUGUUGGGCCAAGGGUUAAUUUGG